UCACUAUAACGUGACGACUGUGAGCCGAGAAGAACGUGUAAACUGAGUGGGAAUUAACUGAGCCAAACUUUACUGAUUUUGUUUCCCCUUUGUCAAAGAGACCUUAGACGCUCCACACAUCGGGCGAUAUAUUUGGACUUUAAUGAAUUUUCCAUGUUUUGACAUAAAGUAAAAGAAGACAGCGAAAACGACAAAUGGAAACUCUGCGAGUGCUUGAGCUUUACAGUGGAAUAGGUGGGAUGCAUUAUGCUCUAAAACAUUCUUCAAAAGCUUCUGCAAAAUCACACUCAGAGUCUGGAAUAUCUGGCCAGGUAGUGGCAGCCAUUGACAUAAACACAACUGCAAAUCAGGUCUACAGGCACAAUUUCCCGGGCACCCCACUCUGGAACAGAACCAUUGAGGGCAUAUCGCUUGAUGAGUUUCAAAAUUUGCAGUUUGACAUGAUUUUGAUGAGUCCUCCUUGUCAACCUUUUACCAGGUUGGGACGCCAACGAGGUAUUGCUGACCCUAGAACAAAGAGCUUUCUCUACAUUCUUAAUCUUCUGCCAAGGCUGAGUCCGCUUCCCCGCUUUAUCCUGCUCGAGAAUGUCAAAGGUUUUGAGAGCUCCUCAGUCAGGCAGUAUUUUGUCCAAAUUCUGAUGGAAUGUGGCUACAUUUUCCAGGAGGUGAUGGUUUCUCCCACAAGUGUUGGGAUCCCAAAUUCAAGACUGCGUUACUUCCUGAUGGCAAAGAUUUCAACAGAAUCGAUUUGUUCAAAGUCAAAGGAUUUACAAAUGUCACUGCUCCCUGCUGAAACUGAGUCCUCGGUGGAGCCUUCGCUUUCAAGUCCUCAAAAGCCAGUUACUAGUUCCCUGGAAAAAGAGGAAGAGAUGGAAGAUCGUGUCCUUUAUAAGCUUGAGACAACAAAUGAUGCUCAGAGAAAGUUGAAUCAAAAUAGGAAUUUGUCCAUCAGGCAGAUCCAAGACUUCCUUGAACCACAGGAGAAUGAUGACAUGGAUCAGUAUCUUGUUCCAUCUUAUGUAUUGCUGCGUUAUGCUUUAAUCCUGGAUAUUGUCAAACCCAUCUGCCGGAGGUCGAUCUGCUUCACUAAAGGCUAUGGACGGUAUGUGGAAGGAACUGGCUCAAUAUUGCAAUGCGACCUGGAGACAGAGAUCGAGAGUGUGUUUAAAAAUCUGGACCAAUUCUCGGAAGAAGAAAAACUUCAACAACUGCAGGGACUGAAGCUUCGUUAUUUUACCCCAAGAGAAGUCGCCAACAUAAUGGGCUUCCCAAAAAGCUUUUUGAAUGCUGAGCUAAAGCAACCUGCCCUUUGUCACCACUUCACGUCGACACUCUGAUGGACAGAAUGAAACGAUGAACCACUGCAAUGUCAUUUUACAACAAGAAAAUAAACUGUGAAAAAAACUUUUCCAGAUCAAAUCCCCACCAGGCAGCGUUACAAACUUCUAGGAAACAGCCUCAAUGUUGUGGUGGUGACAAGACUGCUACACCAGCUGCUCUCCAAGUGGUGAGCAAUGGAGGCAAAUAAAGUUGCCAUUCCAGGUAUUAUUUAAAGCAGCACUGUCAAGAAUUUGGACCUUCCAUAAAAUGUAUUUGUAACUCUUUUGAUGAAAUCUCGAUUUAGAACUACAGUAAUCCCACGUUUAUCGUGGAUAAUUUGUUUCAAGACCACCCGCCAAUAUGUGAAAAUCCGCGAAGUAGUGUCACCCUUUUUUUAACAUACAUAAAUUGUUUGUGUAUCAAUAAGUGUAUAUUAAACCAUAUAAGUGCAUAUGUUAUCAUUAGAACAUUAAAUAAUAGUUUCAAACAAGUAAAUACUACGUAUAUUAAUACGUAGUGUAAAUUACAUACAAGUCAAGUCAAGUUUAUUUGUAUAGCCCUAAAUCACAAGCAGUCUCAAAUGGCUUCACAUAGACAGAAAUUGACAAUUAUUCUCAAAGCAUCCCCUGAUCUUAAGCUCCCAAAAGGGCAAGGAAAAACUUAAAAAACCCUACUGGGGGAAAAUAAGAAACCUUGAGAAGGGACCACAGAUGGAAGGAUCCCCCUUUCAGGAUCACCAGGUUGGAAUGGAUGCAGAGAGAGCACAAAUGAUACAACAUGAACAUCAAUGAAAUAAAAAGUGGAUGUUCAUGUCAGAGCAGAGGGCUGCCGAAGGAGCCCUCAAUUGUCCUGGCAGUGUCUACGAGGAGGUUGAGCUGCAGUUCCCCCAUCCUUAAUUAACCCACGAGAAUCCAGAUAGCCGCUGUCAGCAUGGGUGCCACCUAAUCACCUCCCCGGCCGGGGAGGGAGGGAGUGGAGAGGGAGAGAAAACAAACUCCAGCCGAAUCGGCCACUACAGGUUAGUUAAAGGCCAUGUCAUAGAAAUGUGUCUUUAGACGUGUCUUAAAUGUUUCUACUGAGGUAGCAGUUCUAAUAUCUAUUGGUAGGGCAUUCGAAAGCUCUGGAGCCCGAAUAGAAAAUGCUCUAGAGCCUGCAGACAUUUUCUUGGCCCUCGGUGCCACUAAAAGGGUAGCGUUUUGCGAACGAAGGUUACGAGACGGAACAUAAGGAACAACUAGGUCGACGAGAUAUGAAGGCGCUAAGCCAUGCAGUGAUUUAUAGGUUAAUAGAAGAACCUUGAAAUCACAUCUUAAAUGGACCGGGAGCCAAUGUAAGUUGGCUAGUAUUGGGGUAUAUGUGAUCAAAUUUUCUUGCCCGAGAGAGCAGCCUUGCAGCAGCAUUUUGUACUAACUGUAGACUUUUGAUGCGGGACUUAGGAAGACCCGAUAAUAGUACAUUACAGUAGUCCAGGCGCGACGUGACGAACGCAUGAAUAAUAGUUUCUGCAUCACCGGUCGAGAGGAUCGGACGAAUCUUUGCAAUAUUACGAAGGUGAAAAAACGCUAUUCUGGUUAUAUUCUUAAUGUGCUUUUGAAAGGAGAGAGUUUGGUCAAAUAUUACCCCAAGAUUAGUUACAGUAUCGCUUUGAGUGAUAGCACGGUUAUCUAUAGUUAUAGCGGUUUCCUUGAAUAAGUGUUGAUAACGAGUUGGCCCAAUUAUCAACAUCUCAGUUUUAUCUGGGUUAAGACAAAGGAAGUUGAAAGACAUCCAUUGCUUGAUCUCCGCAAGGCACGCCUCAAGAUUACAACAAUCCCGCGGAUCUGUCAUCGAUAACGGCAUAUAUAAUUGGGUGUCAUCCGCAUAGCAUUGAAAACUAAUAUUAUAUUUACGUAUUAUGUCGCCAAGCGGAAUCAUAUAAAUAUUAAAAAGAAUUGGUCCGAGAACCGAUCCUUGUGGGACACCACACGUAACAUUAUAGAGCUCCGAGGACGCAUUGCCAUGGACCACUCGGUGCGUCCUGUUUGAGAGAUAGGAAUGGAACCAGCCUAGUGCUGACCCUGAAAUACCAACACAACUUUUAAGAUUAAAAGAUUAAAGUCCCAAUGAUCGUCACACACACACCUGGGUGUAGUGAAAUUUGUCCUCUGCAUUUAACCCAUCCCCGUGUGAUUUUAAUCCAUCCCCUGGGGGAGAGGGGAGCAGUGAGCAGCAGCGGUGCCGCGCUCGGGAAUCAGUUGGUGAUCUAACCCCCCAAUUCCAACCCUUAAUGCUGAGUGCCAAGCAGGGAGGCAAUGGGUCCCAUUUUUAAAGUCUUUGGUAUGACCCGGCCGGGGUUUGAACCCACAACCUUCCGGUCUCAGGGCGGACACUCUACCACUAGGCCACUGAGCUGGCCUAAGACGCCCUAAUAAAAUAUCUACCGUUUUUUUCCGUGUAUAGUGCGCAAAAUUUAACGAAUUUAUUGUCUUAAAAUCUGGGGUGCGCAUUAUACAUGGGUACAAAAAAAAAAUAUUUUUUAUUUUUUUUAUUUUUAUUUUUUUAGAAAACAAAACCAACAACAGGACUGACCGACAAAGUCGUGGAACAAAAAGACGGUGACAUUACCAAAGACAGGAACAGAAAGCAAACAGACAUCAUGACAGUAACACAUGCAAUGAUCCGACGGUGAGCGAGGGGCAGACAGGACUUAAAUACAAAACACGUUACAUCGAUUGAGGUGACACAGGAAGAGAGGGGCGAUGCGAACAGAAACUAUGGCAACCUAGACACAUAGCAAAACUGGGGACGAGACGUGACAAAUGUCCCUCGAAAUGAAACUUGAAAUCACCAAGUUUUGGUUCCCAAGGGUGUUUUUAUUCCUCUUCAACGUCUCUCCCAUACAGAGCCGCCUUUUUCACGUCCGCACGCCUCUUUCCCGUGCGCGCACGGAGCGCGGUGGUGCGUUUAUGGGCAGUCGGAGAAAUCAACGCCAACAAAAAAAAAUUACAUCCAGCCUAGUUAAGACCAUACCAAAGACUAUAAAAAUGGGACCCAUUGCCUCCCUAUGAUCAUUGGGACUUAAAAAAAAAAAAAAAAAAAAUCAUAAAAGAAAAUUCAUAAAAAUUGGGUGCGUAUUAUACAUGGGUACAGGCUUUUUUCCAGCAUCAGCAUGCCAUUUUUAGGGUGCGUAUUAUACAUGGGGGCGCACUAUACACGGAAAAAAACGGUAAGUCUACGUACAGUGUCGAAGGCAGCACUAAGAUCGAGUAGUAACAGUACAGACGAAGUGUUUGAAUCCAUAGCUACGAGGAGAUCGUUAGUCACUUUAGCAAGUGCUGUCUCAGUGGAAUGAUUAGCUCUAAAACCAGACUGAAAAGUGUCAUAUCGAUUAUUGGCGACCAUGUAAUCAAUAAGCUGCUGCGCUACUACUUUUUCAAGAAGUUUUGCUAUGAAUGGGAGGUUUGAAACUGGCCUAUAAUUACUGAGACAGUCCGGGUCAAGAUUUGGUCGCUUAAGUAACGGUUUAAUGAUAGCGGUUUUAAAGGCUGUUGGCACUAUCCCAGAGGAGACAGACAGAUUGAUUAUAUUUAAGACGGAAGGUCCUAAAAUUUGAAAUACCGUUUUUUUCCGUGUAUAGUGCGCCCCCAUGUAUAGUACGCACCCCUAAAAAUGGCAUGCUGA